ACUUGUUGCAAAUACACGUGUUGUGUAUUUUAAUUUUAAUCCAUUAAAGCUUCUUCUUGUCUUUGUAUUCUUCAUUCUUGUACUUUUAGUCUUAUUUGCUUGGUAAAUGGGUGGCCCUAUUUCAUGUCAUAUUGUAUUAUUUAUUAUUAUUUUUUAAUUUAAGACAGCUGACCAUUGGUUUCCUUGAAAUAUUCCUAGAUAUGUUAUUGUUAAGUAUGUAUAGUGAACUUAUACUAUUUUGAAUUUAAUUGGAUGUUAAUAUUUGACCAUGUAUGCUGUUUCUUUUCUCCUCUCCUUGUUUGAUACAUGCCCAUUUUUUUUAAUUAGCUUUUCUAUAAAUUCUUGUACGUAGUUACUAGUUCUUUUUUGAAUAUUUCUCUCCCCUCUUGCUAAACACUAACUCUAAACUCCAGCCUCUGAUGCAGCCAUCACCAUCUGCUGCCAUAGUCUUCGUUGUCAACGGUCAUUGCCAUCACUGUGAACCUUUGUGGGUUCUUCGUUCUGUCUUUUGUGUCUCUAGCAUUGGCUUUUCGAUGUCUUUGAAUUAAAAAUAUCCUGUCUUUCCGUUGCCAUCUGCCAUUGUUUCUAUCAUCAUAUUCUGUCACCAUUGUCAUUAUCAUUGUCCUUGUUGUCGUUUCACUGUCGUUGUGGGUUUUCAACGCUUUUUGGGUUUUCUUUUCUCCUAGCCGUCUACUCCUAUUAUUGGCAGUUGUUCUCCUUUGCCAUCCUCCAUCGUGCCAGAUUCUUUUCUUCCUUUAGUUUAACUUGUUGGUUGAGAAGGGAAACAUUGUCAUGCCAAGCACGGUGGUAGCAGAAUUAGAGAGAAUCAUGUGCAAUUUUUUCUGGGAAGGGCAAAAAGGCAGCAAAAUAAUUCACUUGGUAAAUUGGAAACCUUGCUCACAAACUAUGGAGACUGGGUGUCUUGGUGUGGGAAACCUGAAAAACAGAAACUUGGCUCUUCUAUUUAAAUGGAAUUGGAGAUUUUUAAAGGAUCCAAAUGCAUUUUGGUGCAAAAUAGCGAGAAGCAUCCAUGGAUCUAACUCCUCCCAAUGGCACUCUUCUGGAAAAUCUGGUCUAAGUCUUCGCAGCCCCGGGAUUAGUAUAUAAAAAAUUUGGUGUUCAUUGAACCAUCAUGUAUCUUUCAAGCUAGGUGAUGGCCAAAAAUCACAUUCUGGAAGGAUCCUUGGUGCUUAGCAGUUAGCCCAAUCCUUCAGUCAUGCUUUCCCCAAUCUCUUCCGAAUUGCAGCCAAUCCCGUGGCCAAGGUUAUUGCAAAUUGGGACUCUUCAACAUCUUUAUGGAGCCCCUCUUUUCGCUGAGCACUAAAAGAUGAGGAAAUUGAAGAAUUUCAGCUUCUAAUCGGUGGUCUACAAGAUUGAUAAAUGAAUUCAGCAAGCUCUAUGAAAAUCUAAGAGCCCAAAGAGACUAAACAUUCUGGUCUGGUUUACGUUGUUUGGAAUCUUAAACUGUGCGGCAACUCUUCAACAAAAACUCCAAGCUCAUUCCCCUUCAGUUUGUCCACUUUGUCAUGCUGCAGGAGAGGAUCUUCAACAUCUUUUCUUCGUUUACUCUUACUCUCGUGAAUGUUGGUGAAAGCUAUUCUCACUUUUUCAGAUUUCGUGGGUGUUUGGCUUUUGCUUUAAAGACAAUAUACUUUCAGUGUUCAGUGACCCAUCCCUUCCUAAAAAAUCGAAUAUCUUAUGGUCUAAUGCAGUCAAAGCACUGCUAUUGGAACUUUGUUUUGAAAGAAAUCAGAGAGUUUUCCAUGAUAACAUACCUUGCAUGGUCUGACUUGUUUGCCUCAGCAUGACUCCUAGCUUCCUCUUGGUUAUCUCUCUCGGCUUUUCACAGAUUAUUCAAUUCAAGAAAUUUGCCUAAACUCGAAUGCUUUCCUUUUUACAUUAUAAUGUAUUUCCAUUGACCUUUGUUGAGCUUUCCACUUCAAUGUAUUUUCUCCGUACUGUUUCUUAUGUUCCUUGGAUGUUUCUUCUGUUGUAACAAGGCUGUACAUAAGUUAUCCUAUUUGUAUCCAUUUUACUAUCAGGAAGUCUUUGUUUCCUUUUCACAAAAGAAAAAAAGAAAAAGAAAAAGAGAAAUGGAAACAAUUUAAUUGAUAAAUGAAAUAAAGGAGGAAGAACUCCAAGUCACCCAACGAUUACAUAAAAUUUUGUCAGUGGAAAAAUAAACAAGAAAGACUAUAAAAAAAGGGCCUAUAAAGUUUACACUAAUACAAAUCAUAUGAAUUUUAAAUUAGUCGAUUGACCCGUAAGUUUAAGCUUACGAGUGAAGGUAAAUUUAAUAUUAUAUCAUUUAACACUUUUCCUCGGCUUGAAAUCUAAUGUUAAUUGGAGGGGAAAUAGCAUUGCAGAGGUUUGAGUGUAGGACAUCUUGAACCACUUGCUCUGGUACCAUCUAAAUCACCAAUUAAUCCAAAAGCUCAAUCUUAUGGGUGAAGGUAAAUUUAAUAUCAUAUCAUUCAAUUAAACAAGACAAAUGCAAAUCCACACCACUGUCGUUGGAGGAAAA